GGCUGCUUGUGGACUUGUGUGUGGAUGGAUUUGUCACAUUGUGUAUUUGGUAGUGUGUGUAUGUGUGGGGCUGUUUAGGGUAUUGCAUGUGAGAGGCUGCAUGUGGGGUUGUGUGCAUGUAUGUGGAUUGUUAGUGGUGUUGCGUUUGUGGGGAUUGUGUGUGUGUGUGUGUGUGUGUGCUGUUCAUAUUAUUUGUAUGAGGGGAGGGUUAUUCUGCAGCUCUGUGUAUAUCUAGCAGUGUGGGUGGGUUCCAG